GACGAACGCUGGCGGCGUGCUUAACACAUGCAAGUCGAACGAUGAAGCCGGAGCUUGCUCUGGUGAAUUAGUGGCGAACGGGUGAGUAACACGUGAGUAACCUGCCCUUGACUCUGGGAUAACUGCUAGAAAUGGUAGCUAAUACCGGAUACGACCCUCGGCGGCAUCGCCAGGGGGUGGAAAGAAUUUCGGUCAAGGAUGGACUCGCGGCCUAUCAGCUAGUUGGUGAGGUAACGGCUCACCAAGGCGACGACGGGUAGCCGGCCUGAGAGGGUGACCGGCCACACUGGGACUGAGAGACGGCCCAGACUCCUACGGGAGGCAGCAGUGGGGAAUAUUGCACAAUGGGCGCAAGCCUGAUGCAGCAACGCCGCGUGAGGGAUGACGGCCUUCGGGUUGUAAACCUCUUUUAGUAGGGAAGAAGCGAAAGUGACGGUACCUGCAGAAAAAGCACCGGCUAACUACGUGCCAGCAGCCGCCGUAA
rnacentral:rRNA from 1 species